rnacentral:rRNA from 1 species
UACGUAGGGGGCUAGCGUUGUCCGGAAUCAUUGGGCGUAAAGAGCGUGUAGGCGGUCCGGUAAGUCCGCUGUGAAAGUCGGGGGCUCAACCCUCGAAUGCCGGUGGAUACUGUCGGGCUAGAGUGCGGAAGAGGCGAGUGGAAUUCCUGGUGUAGCGGUGAAAUGCGCAGAUAUCAGGAGGAACACCUAUUGCGAAGGCGGCCCUCUGGCUCGACCCUGACGCUGAGGCGCGAAAGCGUGGGGAGCGAACGGG